GUGGUAAGUCAAGAUGGAGCCUUCUCUGUGGUUGCUCUAAAUGUCUAGGAUCUCUUACCAAGAUUGGUCCAGCUAGCCCCAUCUCUGAUGACUUUCUGCCAGCAGCUAAAAACCUCCUUAUUAAGGCAGGACUUUAAACCAUAAACUGAUUUAAGCCAUAACUCUGCCACAUCUCCUGAAGCAACCUUGAAUCCAUGCAGACAUUCUGAGCCAGGAGAGCCCUUAUCAGAGGGUGGACAUGAGACCCUGGCCUUAUACCGAGUCCUGGGUCAGCCUCCAUCUGGGAGACUGCAACAAGGCCAGGGAAAGGGCCAUCUGCACCCAAGGUGAGUUCCGCCUCUAACUUUGGGGCUGAAUUGGGUCCCAAACCCAAGGCAAAUGCAGAACUACUGUAAAGACUAGAUGGAAACCUGGCCCACCUGGAGAUUGCA